AGUCGAGCGGAUGAGAGGAGCUUGCUCCUCGAUUCAGCGGCGGACGGGUGAGUAAUGCCUAGGAAUCUGCCUAGUAGUGGGGGACAACGUUUCGAAAGGAACGCUAAUACCGCAUACGUCCUACGGGAGAAAGUGGGGGAUCUUCGGACCUCACGCUAUUAGAUGAGCCUAGGUCGGAUUAGCUAGUUGGUAGGGUAAAGGCCUACCAAGGCGACGAUCCGUAACUGGUCUGAGAGGAUGAUCAGUCACACUGGAACUGAGACACGGUCCAGACUCCUACGGGAGGCAGCAGUGGGGAAUAUUGGACAAUGGGCGAAAGCCUGAUCCAGCCAUGCCGCGUGUGUGAAGAAGGCCCUCGGGUCGUAAAGCACUUUAAGUUGGGAGGAAGGGCUUACAGCGAAUACCUGUGAGUUUUGACGUUACCGACAGAAUAAGCACCGGCUAACUUCGUGCCAGCAGCCGCGGUAAUACGAAGGGUGCAAGCGUUAAUCGGAAUUACUGGGCGUAAAGCGCGCGUAGGUGGCUUGAUAAGUUGGAUGUGAAAUCCCCGGGCUCAACCUGGGAACUGCAUCCAAAACUGUCUGGCUAGAGUGUGGUAGAGGGUAGUGGAAUUUCCAGUGUAGCGGUGAAAUGCGUAGAUAUUGGAAGGAACACCAGUGGCGAAGGCGACUACCUGGACUAACACUGACACUGAGGUGCGAAAGCGUGGGGAGCAAACAGGAUUAGAUACCCUGGUAGUCCACGCCGUAAACGAUGUCAACUAGCCGUUGGGAUCCUUGAGAUCUUAGUGGCGCAGCUAACGCAUUAAGUUGACCGCCUGGGGAGUACGGCCGCAAGGUUAAAACUCAAAUGAAUUGAC
rnacentral:rRNA from 1 species